UUUAAGGACUGAUUUUCACCCAGGAAAUGCCCGAUCUCAUCUGAACUCGGAAGUAAAGCAGGGUCGGGCCUGGUUAGUACUUGGAUGGGAGACCGCCUGGGAAUACCAGGUGCUGUAAGCU
rnacentral:rRNA from 1 species